rnacentral:lncRNA from 1 species
UUUUAUUCGAUUACAACUUUAUUCAAUUACAACUCUAUUCCAUUACAACCCUAUCUCAUUUCAGUGAACCAAAAGUGUCAUUAAGAACUCAGUAAGUUUCUCGGGUUUGAUAAGUUCUUGCCAGACAAUAACUACUGGGAAACAAAACCUCUAAGACAUGGUUGGGAGACUCAACUUGAUAGCCACACACCCCACAAUGGCCAUCCAUUGUCAUAUGUUGACGAAGACGAACCUCAUUUGUCAUUACGCGAUCCUGAAGAACCAACUAAAGAAAAACUUUUACACAUUGAAGGCAAUGUAUAUGCGACACCCACCUCAACAUCACAUGCAUGCCAAUGCUAUUCGAGGGCGCCAAAUGCUCAUAAGCCGACUUUCUGGUGAAACGAAAAUGCGUUCCCCAUUGCCACCCCGGGAAAUCCUCCACGUCACACCCACCUGGAGGUUGCUUACCAGCUAUCUAUAGAAUUAUCUCCUUAGGCAGCAAGGCUCGGAGACAAUUCCAGUCCCGCUGCCUAUUGCUACAAGUGAAAGGCGCCAAUGAAACAAACCCCAAAGGUACAGCCUGAGGGUUCAGACAAUGCUCGACAAGCGGGCCGCACUCUGGUAACCAACAAUCAGCCAGAAAUCAAUUGUUAAACCAUUGCCAACAUUCCAAACCAGGCUAGCUCGUACAUCAUCCCAAACUUCACUUAUACCCUUCCAUAAUCG